rnacentral:misc_RNA from 1 species
AAAAUAAUCCUACCCUUUGUGAAUUUUGUUUGUUUGAAUAAUUUUUUUUUUUAAAAAAUUAUUGGAGUCUUUCCCUUUAGAGUUUGCUUUUGAGUUUGUAAAAGAAUUCGAAAACAUCUAAAGGGGAUGGUCAAUAAUUUUUUUUGAAAAAAGACAUUUUUUAAAAUUAAACUUUUGUAUUCAUUUGUCUAAAAAUUAUUUUUAUAAUAUAAAAACAACUUUUGACAAUGGAUCUCUUGGUUCUCGCAACGAUGAAGAACGCAGCAAAAUGCGAUAAGUAGUGUGAAUUGCAGAAUACGUGAUCAUCGAAUCUUUGAACGCAUAUUGCACUUCUUUAGUUUACUAAAAAGUAUGUCUGUUUGAGUAUCAGUAAAAUAUUCUCAUAAAAAUCAUUGUAUUUUAUGGUUAUGAGUGUUUUACAACGAUACAAGUUGUUUCACUUUAAAUUUUUUUUAAUAUUGAAAUUUUUCUAAUUUUAAUAAUUAAAAUUGGAUAAAAUUUUCCCGUCAAAAGGAAUAACCUAAACAAUUUUAAACGAUUAAUUUUAGCAAAAUUUUCGUAAAAAAGGAAAAUUUUUAUUAAAAUAACUUGAUCUCAAAUCAGAUAAGAGUACCGCUGAACUUAAGCAUACAAUAAGCGGAGGAAAAGAACUAACAAGGAUUCCCUUAGUAACGGCGAGUGAAGCGGAAGAGCUCAAAUUUGAAAUCUUCAAGGUUUACCUUGACGAAUUGUAGUUUAAAGAAGUGUUUUCUGCUGAAGUUUUGGUAAAAGUUCUUUGGAAUAGGACAUCAUAGAGGUGAGAAUCCCGUAUUUGACCAUUAUUUUCAGCUUUGUGAUACACUUUCAAAGAGUCGGAUUGUUUGGGAAUGCAGUCCAAAUGGGUGGUAAAUUUCAUCAAAGCUAAAUAUUGGCGAGAGACCGAUAGCGAACAAGUACCGUGAGGGAAAGAUGAAAGAACUUUGAAAAGAGAGUUAAACAGUACGUGAAAUUGUCAAAAGGGAAGCGUUUGACACCAGUGUUGUUUUCUCGAAAAUCAAUUAAAAAUGGCUCGAUUUGUAUUGCUGAGACCUUAAAAGCUCACUGUACAUUUUUCGUGUCUUUUUAAUGCACUUUUCGUUUAACAAGUCAACAUCAGUCUCUUUUGUUGUAAAAGGGUCAUUGGAAGGUGGCUUUCUUUUCGGAGAAAGUGUUUAUAGCCUUUGGCCUCUGCAAUCGGAGAGACUGAGGUCUGCAGCGUAGACUCUUCGGGUUAGAUACAUUUGUGCUAAGUUAUAGCUUUUUAUAGACAACUUGUUGACUAUAAUUAGUCUUGUAGCUUACUCGCUUAUGCUAUUUUACCUACGCUUAGGAUG